GCCUACACAGAAAGCAGCCAUGGGAGACUUGCCGAGGACUUUGUCCACCAAGUGAUGAAAGCAUGCAAAUGCCUCCGAAUCAAAGAUGAGGAAAACAAAAGCUCAGAAACUAUCUUGGAGUCAGCAAGUAAGAAGGAGCUUAGAAAGGCUUAACAUUUUCCAUGCUUCUGCCUGGCUUCAGAGCCCAUGCACUCUGCCUUACCACGGCAGGUGAAAGAUGGCCCCAAAUUCUUAGGUACAUCUCCUGCCAAAAGACCCCUCCUAUGGGUUCUGUGACUACUUCAAUGAAAAGAAUAGGGCAGAAGAGAUGAUGAGAACUUAACAUCUGGCAGUGUCCAUUUCCUGUCUUUUGAAACUUUCUGUUAAAGGCCUGAGCCACGUAUGAAGUGUGAAUCUUCACACCAUGCAAGAGAAGCCACAUGUUAUUGCUCUGGUCAACAAUCCCAGCUGACCCAACCAGAUAGUGUAUCAGGCAUAUGAGUAAAGCAUUCUUAGAUUCUUCAGUCCAGCCCUUCACCAGCAGAACACCAUUCAGCAACCCUUGUCGGCAUCAUGUGGGACAGAAGAACCACCCAGCUGAGCCUUAUCCAAAUUCCUGACCACAAAAUCAUAAGACAGAAAAAUAGCAAAGUCAACUCAGCCAUGUUGGGGUCACUAAGGAAGUAUUACCCCUGAGGGCAAGAUGGAGAUGGCUGAACCAGCAGUGC
rnacentral:lncRNA from 10 species